rnacentral:lncRNA from 1 species
GUAUGCUUUCCAAAUUCCGGACAAGCUCUCGUCCAGCGAUGCCGCUCCACUAUUGUGUGCUGGGAUCACGGUCUAUAGCCCAAUGAAACGCUAUGGUAUGAUCUCCCAGACAGGAAAACACCUGGGAGUGAUCGGGCUGGGUGGUUUGGGUCAUAUGGCCGUUAAGUUUGGCAAAGCUUUCGGCCACAAGGUGACGGUGCUCAGCACAUCGCCGGGCAAGAAAGAGGACGCUCUCACUCUCCUUGGGGCUGACGAGUUUCUCGUCACAAAAGAUCCACAAGCGUUGCAUGUAAGUUCACGUUUAAGAUACUUUUCCUCUGGCUCGAGACGUCAUUCUUUGUUUGUUCACCAUGACAGGCCGCAGGAAAAUCCAUAGAUUGGAUCAUCGAUACAGCGGCAGGGAAACACGAUCUGAACUUGUAUCUCCCACUUCUAAAGACGGGAGGGCACUUAGUCAUGGUGGGUGUUCCACCGAGUAUUGAAUUUGCUACACACUUGAUGUUGCGUAAGUUUUUCUUUCAUACUUUUUUCUUGUUUGGCUCAUUCUAUAUAUUGUGUUUCUUAGCCAGGAGAUCGAUCUCCGGGAGCGUAACCGGCGGAUGCAAAGAGAUCGAAGAGAUGCUCCAAUUUUGUGCCGAUAAGCAAAUCCUCCCCAACAUCGAGAUAGUUCCCAUCGACUACGCAAACACUGCCAUACAAAGGAUGAUCAGAAGCGACGUUAAGUUUCGUUUCGUCAUAGACAUCGCAAGCUCUUUAAAGUAAGCGUUUUAAACAAAAGAUAAAGGUGAUUAAUAAGUUAAACCAAUAAAUCGCCUCUAGGGCUUUCAAUCCGGUUAAAAAGCUGGACAGCAGAGAUUCACAUGAAGCAAGGCAUCGCACACAGCCAAUCCAAGAACAAUAUCUCCGAGUCGGCGAUUUCCUACACCAAAGCAGCCGAGUGUUUUCGGCGAGACGGCUCUACGGACAAAGCGGUUGCGGCGUAGGUUGCGUGGAAAAAACUGGGACCUUCUUGCCAUCUCCUGGUAGCGAUCUGCUCAAAGAACAUUGGAGAGCUGGAGAGCAACGAGAGAGCGCUUGAGGCGUUCAAGACGCCCUCCAAGGUGAAUGUGAGAUUGUCGCUGUUCAAGGCGGCCGUUUGCCGCGUUCUAGAUGCGCGGUACGGGGAUCUCGAUAGAGUGGUGAAGCACGAGUACGAGGAGAUAGAUCCCGGGUUUGGAUCCAGCACAGAGUUUAGAAUUGUCCAAGGUCUUUACCUCUCGAUAGACAUGGAGGAUGAGCGUGGGUUUUGUGAUUCCGUGGAUGCUUGCGCCAAGAUGUGUGGUGCCAAAGAAACAUUAGAAUUAGCUGCCUUUUAAUAAGGUGAAUCUGGACAAUCACAGCCUCUCAAUUAAAUGCAAGUGCAAGAACGAGUGUAAACUUAUCAACAAAAGAAUGCUAUGGAACCCUCCAUGAAAUUCAAAGAAUUUAUGGCAUUUCAAUGCUAUGUGUGCAUGUUAGCCAAAAGCUUGUAGGCAGCAGUGUUGUGCAGCGGUGGGAGAAAUUCGGCCACAGUCCACGAUGAGAUUGAGGAGCUUGUGCACGCUGGGAAGGCAAGACAAGUGUCCGUUGGGAAGGCAAGAUGGGUGUGUCGUGUGUGCUCUGCCUUGACUCAGGAGAUGAAAAUUCCGGUGUGGGGGACUGGGAAUUCGUUGGUGUCUCCUGAACUGCAGCAGCGUUGAUAGAACAGAUGAGAUUCAAGGGCACUUAUACUAUGACUAACUUGCAUGCCUACAACUCGCAAACCGUAGAAAGUGUGAGGGAUUGAGAUCCCUAAGAAGAAAUAUAUAUGGAUAAUUAAUACCACGUGGUAACACAUGAUCGGCCAUUUGGUGAAGGAUUUCAGCCAUCUGGUGAGUCGUAAUGAAGCCAUUUGGUGAAAGCAUUCAUGGAUAAGUAUAUGUAUAUAAGCUAUCUGCUUGGCUAGAGACCAGCGUGGCCUUGGCUCAAAGCAACCUCACCUCCUAUGUCGAUCUUAGCUGGGAGCAGCCUGAUCAUAGCGAGUCAGUUUCAGCUCAUAGUGAGUCAGCUGCUUGGAGCAGUGAGUUGAUCACAGCUUAAGGUAGCCUAGUUACAGCGAUCAAACUUAACUUGGAGUAGCAGUUGGAAUGGCUGUCAAGCUGUAAUGGAAGCAAGUUUACAUUUUUCAAGCCUCUAGAAAAGAGUGUAGGUCCACGUUGCAUCCUUCAUGGGGAGCUAGUGAAAGAAAACUGUUCUUAAGCCUCUAGAUGGUCAGCCAUCCUUCUCUGCGUUACACCCAUAAAUACUUGAAGCUUGAAUAAAGUCCUUCAGUCUUCCUGGUUCAAUCAAGCCCUGAGAAGCCUAAAUGAAUUGAUACCUUUGCUGGAAAUUUCUUGUUAUAACUAGUGUAAAAAAAUCCACUCUCAAGAGCAAGAAUUCUUCACUAAACCCCAUAAAACCUCAUUUCAUUCCUUGCAGCCCUAGACUCCCUAGAUUUAAGACUGGGAUUCGAACUAAGCACCACUUUUUCUAUAGAGUCCAACUAUGGCGAUGGGUGUGGAAUGCGUGGGUUGGGCAGCUCGGGAUCAAUCUGGAGUUCUCUCGCGCCACGAGUUCUCUAGGAGGUAUAGUGACAAAGAUAUUUUUCUGCCUUGAUUCUGCUCCAGAGCGAUAGGAGACGAUGACAUUUGUUUCAAAAUCACCCACUGCGGGAUCUGUUACGCUGAAGCCGUGUGGCUUUUCAACAAGCUUGGCGACACCAAAUAUCCCAUCGUUCCUGGGUAAGCGAGAGAGAACUCCCCAAUUCGUUCUUCAAUUAUCUGGUUUCCUGGAUCCCCUUUCUUUUCUUUUGAACCCAGCAUGAUCUCUCCCUCAGUUUUUCUUCUGUUCUUAUUUUUGUUCUUGGUUUCUCUCCUAGUUGACUUUUUCAGUUUUUUCCUCACGGCUUUGAUUCCAUCCAUAGACACGAGAUUGUAGGCGUGGUGGCAGAGGUGGGCUCCAAUGUGACACGCUUCAAGGUUGGCGACCGCGCUGGCGUUGGAGCUUACUGCCGCUCCUGUGGCUCUUGCGACGACUGCGAUAAUGGAAUGGAGAACUAUUGCCACAAAUCGCUCCUCACGUACAACUACGAAGACAUCGAUGGAACCAUCACCAAAGGAGGCUUCUCCAACAAAAUGGUUGUCCACUCAAGGUAAGAAACUUCAAAGUUUUUUUCGAGUUUUUGAUCGAACCUUCUGUUGUCUCGCAGGUAUGCUUUCCAAAUUCCGGACAAGCUCUCGUCCAGCGAUGCCGCUCCACUAUUGUGUGCUGGGAUCACGGUCUAUAGCCCAAUGAAACGCUAUGGUAUGAUCUCCCAGACAGGGAAACACCUGGGAGUGAUCGGGCUGGGUGGUUUGGGUCAUAUGGCCGUCAAGUUUGGCAAAGCUUUCGGCCACAAGGUGACGGUGCUCAGCACAUCGCCGGGCAAGAAAGAGGACGCUCUCACUCUCCUU